rnacentral:rRNA from 1 species
UACAGAGGUCUCAAGCGUUGUUCGGAUUCAUUGGGCGUAAAGGGUGUGUAGGUGGCGCCGUAAGUCGGGUGUGAAAUUUCGGAGCUUAACUCCGAAACUGCAUUCGAUACUGCCGUGCUUGAGGACUGGAGAGGAGACUGGAAUUUACGGUGUAGCGGUGAAAUGCGUAGAUAUCGUAAGGAAGACCAGUGGCGAAGGCGGGUCUCUGGACAGUUCCUGACGCUGAGGCACGGAAGGUCAGGGGGAGCAAAACGGG